GAAAUACUCCCUCCGUCCGGAAAUACUUGUCGUAGAAAUGCAUAAAAAUGAAUGUAUAUAGAACUAAAAUACAUCUAGAUACACCCAUUCCUCCGACGUAUAUUUCCGGACGGAGGGAGUAACUG
rfam:Triticum aestivum genome assembly, contig: Triticum_aestivum_CS42_TGACv1_scaffold_603295_7DL